CUGAAUGAUCGGCAGGUGCGACGUUAUCGGAUUUACUGGGCGUAAGCUCGUGCGUAGGCGGCUUAUUAAGUCGGAUGUGAAAUCCCCGAGCUUAACUUGGGAAUUGCAUUCGAUACUGGUGAGCUAGAGUAUGGGAGAGGAUGGUAGAAUUCCAGGUGUAGCGGUGAAAUGCGUAGAGAUCUGGAGGAAUACCGAUGGCGAAGGCAGCCAUCUGGCCUAAUACUGACGCUGAGGUACGAAAGCAUGGGGAGCAAACAGGAUUAGAUACCCUGGUAGUCCAUGCCGUAAACGAUGUCUACUAGCCGUUGGGGCCUUUGAGGCUUUAGUGGCGCAGCUAACGCGAUAAGUAGACCGCCUGGGGAGUACGGUCGCAAGACUAAAACUCAAAGGGAAUUGACGGGGAGGGGGCCCCCCCUCACG
rnacentral:rRNA from 1 species